UGUAACGAAUGUGGGAAAGCCUUUGGCUACU
rnacentral:piRNA from 2 species